rnacentral:rRNA from 1 species
GAAAUGCGAUAAGUAAUGUGAAUUGCAGAAUUCAGUGAAUCAUCGAAUCUUUGAACGCACCUUGCGCCCUUUGGUAUUCCGAAGGGCAUGCCUGUUUGAGUGUCAUUAAAUUAUCAACCUUGCUCGCUUUUACUAGCUUGAGUUAGGCUUGGAUGUGAGGGCUUGCUGGCUUCCUUCCAGUGGAUGGUCUGCUCCCUUUAAAUACAUUAGUGGGAUCUCUUGUGGACYGUCACUUGGUGUGAUAAUUAUCUAUGCCUUGCGACUUUGAAGCAAACUAAUGGGAACCUGCUUAUAACCGUCUUCGGACAAUUAAUGACUAUUUGACCUCAAAUCAGGUAGGACUACCCGCUGAACUUAA